UACGGAGGAUGCAAGCGUUAUCCGGAAUGAUUGGGCGUAAAGCGUCCGCAGGUGGCUAUGUAAGUCUGCUGUUAAAGAGCAAAGCUUAACUUUGUAAAAGCAGUGGAAACUACAUAGCUAGAGUGCGUUCAGGGCAGAGGGAAUUUCUGGUGUAGCGGUGAAAUGCGUAGAGAUCAGGAAGAACACCGGUGGCGAAGGCGCUCUGCUAGGCCGCAACUGACACUGAGGGACGAAAGCUAGGGGAGCGAAUGGG
rnacentral:rRNA from 1 species